AUAAAAGGUCAGGCCUCUCCUCUUCCGAAUCCCCCAAAAACCCUAUCCCAACUCCACCCGUAGCUCGCGCCCUCGCCGUCCCGAUCUCGCUGCUGCCGCCGCAGUUCACCGCUGUUUCCGACGCCGGUAUCGCCGGAGCCGCCGCCUUGAGCAUCACCGCCCGUCACCGGAGUUGGAGCUCACCAGGAGCUCUGUCGAGCUCGUGCCACUCGCCACCGUCACCCUCGACCGCCGCUGAGAUCACCCCGACGAAGCCCUCGCUCCACCGCAUCCGCCCGACGUCUUCGCCACCUUCGCCGAUCGCUGGAGACCCCGCCUCGCUCGAUGCCGACCUCCGCCACCCUCUGUCGUCGUCAACCAUCGCCGUAAAUUCCCGGAGUGCGAGGCCUGCUAUCACGAGUCGCUAGCAUUUGAAGACCGUCAGCCAG